AGAGUUGAUCCUGGCUUAGAACGAACGCUGGCGGCGCGUUUAAGCAUGCAAGUCGAGCGGCAAGGGCCUUCGGGCCCCUAGAGCGGCGGACGGGUGAGUAACACGUGGACAAUCUGCCCCCCGGCCCGGGAUAGCCCAGGGAAACCUGGAUUAAUACCGGAUGAGACGGGACCCGCGAUGGCGGGAUCCGGGAAAGGCGCUGCGGCGCCGCCGGGGGAUGAGUCUGCGUCCCAUUAGCUAGACGGCGGGGUAACGGCCCACCGUGGCGACGAUGGGUAGCCGGCCUGAGAGGGUGGACGGCCACAUUGGAACUGAGACACGGUCCAGACUCCUACGGGAGGCAGCAGCUAAGAAUCUUCCGCAAUGGGCGAAAGCCUGACGGAAGCGACGCCGCGUGAACGAAGAAGGCCGUGAGGUUGUAAAGUUCUUUUCGGGAGGGGGAACAACCGUGGCAGGGAAUGGCCGCGGGAUGACGUGAAUCCCGGAAUAAGCCCCGGCUAACUACGUGCCAGCCGCCGC
rnacentral:rRNA from 1 species